rnacentral:rRNA from 1 species
GUGCCUAACACAUGCAAGUCGAGCGAACCCUUCGGGGUGAGCGGCGGACGGGUGAGUAACGCGUGGGUAACCCGCCCUGUACACACGGAUAACAUACCGAAAGGUAUGCUAAUACGAGAUAAUAUAUUUUAAUCGCAUGGUUAAGAUAUCAAAGCUCCGGCGGUACAGGAUGGACCCGCGUCUGAUUAGCUAGUUGGUGAGGUAAUGGCUCACCAAGGCGACGAUCAGUAGCCGACCUGAGAGGGUGAUCGGCCACACUGGAACUGAGACACGGUCCAGACUCCUACGGGAGGCAGCAGUGGGGAAUAUUGCACAAUGGGCGAAAGCCUGAUGCAGCAACGCCGCGUGAGCGAUGAAGGCCUUCGGGUCGUAAAGCUCUGUCCUCAAGGAAGAUAAUGACGGUACUUGAGGAGGAAGCCCCGGCUAACUACGUGCCAGCAGCCGCGGUAAUACGUAGGGGGCUAGCGUUAUCCGGAAUUACUGGGCGUAAAGGGUGCGUAGGCGGUCUUUCAAGCCAGAAGUGAAAGGCUACGGCUCAACCGUAGUAAGCUUUUGGAACUGUAAGACUUGAGUGCAGGAGAGGAGAGUGGAAUUCCUAGUGUAGCGGUGAAAUGCGUAGAUAUUAGGAGGAACACCAGUAGCGAAGGCGGCUCUCUGGACUGUAACUGACGCUGAGGCACGAAAGCGUGGGGAGCAAACAGGAUUAGAUACCCUGGUAGUCCACGCCGUAAACGAUGAGUACUAGGUGUCGGGGGUUACCCCCCUCGGUGCCGCAGCUAACGCAUUAAGUACUCCGCCUGGGAAGUACGCUCGCAAGAGUGAAACUCAAAUGAAUUGACGG